GCGGUCGUGGUCUAGAGGUUAUGACCGUGGCUUCCCAAGCCACUUGCCCGGGUUCGAAUCCCGGCGACCGCA
rnacentral:tRNA from 1 species